rnacentral:rRNA from 1 species
GAUGGACGCUGGCGGCGUGCCUAAUACAUGCAAGUCGAGCGAAUGGAUUAAGAGCUUGCUCUUAUGAGGUUAGCGGCGGACGGGUGAGUAACACGUGGGUAACCUGCCCAUAAGACUGGGAUAACUCCGGGAAACCGGGGCUAAUACCGGAUAGCAUUUUGAACCGCAUGGUUCGAAAUUGAAAGGCGGCUUCGGCUGUCACUUAUGGAUGGACCCGCGUCGCAUUAGCUAGUUGGUGAGGUAACGGCUCACCAAGGCAACGAUGCGUAGCCGACCUGAGAGGGUGAUCGGCCACACUGGGACUGCAACACGGCCCAGACUCCUACGGGAGGCAGCAGUAGGGAAUCUUCCGCAAUGGACGAAAGUCUGACGGAGCAACGCCGCGUGAGUGAUGAAGGCUUUCGGGUCGUAAAACUCUGUUGUUAGGGAAGAACAAGUGCUAGUUGAAUAAGCUGGCACCUUGACGGUACCUAACCAGAAAGCCACGGCUAACUACGUGCCAGCAGCCGCGGUAA